GGGUUCGGAGGUUAUGAAUAAGAAGGGUUCGGUGAAUGCGCGUAUGAAACUAGGGGGUUCGGUACCUCAAAAAAGGUUAAGAACCACUGAUACAGAGAGAGAGAA